CUAAUUAACCCCCAACGGCCACUGUCAUUGCUAACAACGUGGCCUCUAGGCGUUAGUCUAAAAUUCGUUGGGUGGGUGAGCUAGACCGGGUUCCCCUAUUAAAGUAAAAUCCCCAACUGGCUUAAUCUGUAUAAAAUCCCAAAUACACAAUCAGAAUAAUACGCAGGCAGCAGCAGCUGAACCAAGCGGCAAGCGCACAGAAACCGAACCAGCAAUAGGAGCCAAGGAGAACCCCUCCCACGUACCUUGAGCAGAACCAUGGAAGCCCAGUAGUCGCAGCUGCACUCCUGUCGUCACGCCGGAUCGCAAGUGGAGUUGAAGGCAGCGAUGGAUCCACGGCUCCGAUGGUGGCGGUUGCAGACGGAGUAGGGAACCGGUGGCGGCGAGGAGUUGAGGAGGCAGCGGGGAAGGCACGGCGGUGGUGAAGCGCGAACGCGCGCGAGGGGAACCCGCAGUGGGGGAAAGCGCGGCAGUAGUGAGGCACGG
rnacentral:lncRNA from 1 species